GUGGUUUUGAUCCUCAUUAUUCUCACCAUGAACUCCACUUUUACGGUGGUUAUAUCCUAUAUCUUUAGGAUUCAGUUCGCAUCGGUUUCCAGCCAUGAUGCCCUCCCCACUUUCUCCACCUCCCACAAUUUCAGCACCAAUAACCACAGUUUACCCCUCAAUUCUAGCAGCUUUCUGCUUUUAAAGUAUUUAAACCCUCUUUCCACCCACAUGCAAUGAUGUCAAAACCUUUCAAAGUCAAUCGUCGCCUGAGUAGGUUCGAAUGGCGGAUAGAGUAAUUUCGAUGUGAUACUCGAGCGGCGAUGAAGAAUAUGUAGAGUCUCAGGUGGUGCCGUGGUCGUCAGUUGCAGUGUCCCUGAUACAGAACCGAGCUACAACCAUCGGAGAUUUCUGACCCGCUGAGGCACACUUCCCUUAACCAUUGUUCCGGUUGUUCAAGUUUUUCUUCUCCAACCGUCUACUCGACAAUCCAGGGAUGGAGACUUCUCUUCUCUGGCGCCAAAGAUAAUGUUAUGACAAUGAACAAUGGCGGACGAUUGGGCACAUACCCCUGGUCACAACUGUGCUGUUUGGUGCUGCCAUGCUUCAAGUAUGUUGUUUCCUUUUCUCCUUCUUUGAUGGUUGUUAAUUUCGUUGAGUAAAAAAUGUCAACCAUCUGAUGAAUUGUGUCAAUUGUAACAAAAAUACAAUUUGGUCACAACAGUUAUGUUUCAAAGUUGCAGAUCAGUAGUUGUUAAAUUCGUUGUUCGGGCUCAGUUUUUUAAUGUUAUUCAUCAGUCCUUUCACAUCAUAACUUUGCAUAUGUUGUUUCAGUUUAUAUGUCAGUAGAUCACAGAGCAGCAGUGUUUUUAUCAGUUUUCUUUAUCAUCUAUUGUAUAUCAGUGUAUCACACCAGGAAUUAUUACGUUUGUGAAAUACAAGUAUGUGAUACUCUGUUUAAAUACAAGUAUGAAUAUGAUGGUCUCAAUCAGAGAGUUGAUUUUGCUCUAUCAUGCAGGCUAGAUUUUUCUUCCAACAGCUUGUAUAUCGGGUCAGCUACUGUCAUUCAAAGAAACAUUCGCAUCGAAACGGUACGAGUGGACCAACAAAACGUAUGAUUCAGUAUGCGAUUACGAAGACUUUGGUUACAGGUCAGUUGCUUAAUGUUGCCCCCACAAACAUAACCUUUCUAUGUAUGCAUGUUUAAUUUGGAGUAAUUUUAAUACACUUGCACCUACGUAACACGUAUACUGUUGACACAAUUACUAUGAAUAACCUGCUUGAAACUCGGUUGCGAAGCGCAGGUAGUGAUGCUUUAUUUCAGUAUGAUUUCGGGUCGAAACGGUACUGGUCGAAACGAGCUUCAUUGGUGCCAGGAACGAGCUUCAUUGGUGCUGAUAAUCUUCGAAUUUAUAGUUUACUGGAAAAACAAAUUAUAUAUUUUUUUAUGAUUUCAUAGGUGGUUGUUAUGAACGCUUAAUUGAUGUAGAUAAAAGGGAGCAAACGCGACAAACAUUGUAAGCCCAUGUUUUCAUUUUCUUAAUAAUUUGACAUCGAUCCCUGAAUUUAUUUAUUGUUGUAUUUUUUGUGAUUCGACACAUAGUUAAUUUCUUGCCAAUGCACUUCAUGGUGAAGAAAGGUAUUUUCAUGACCCCUCAUGGCUCAUGCUCUGCAACUAUAAGAAUAUACAUAUGCUACCCUUACAAAUCUUGUAACACUAACCUUUUAUAUUCCAUCUUUAGAACAUGGUCAGACCAGUCAACAUGUACUAUAGAUGAACCUUCUAGAACUUCAAUGUCUUCACUAGAUUAAAAAAUCAUGAUUCAUGAACAACUUUACUUGUAUUUUAUAUUUACCAACUUGAGAUUGAAAUAUAAAUUUGUUUUUGUUGCGGGUCAUGGAGCUUGUGACGAAGGAAAAGUUGGUAAUGAAAUUUUGCUUUGAGAGACAUAGCGUAGGGGUUUGGACAUCAACAAGAAGGUGCUCUAUUACGACUAAAUUAUUUUUUGACUUUUUCUCACUUGUAUGUAUAGAUGAUCAAUUUACUUGUAAAGGGGUGGAUUUGGGUUAUGUUUCAUCUCGAACGGGUCAAAUGGCGAUUUAAAAGAGUUAGGUCAAAAGGAGUCUUGGUUGUAAGUUUCCAAAGUGUACUGAAAUAAUAUAAGUAAUCGGGUUUGGCUCAUUUAAUUACUUGAAAAGGUUUAAAUUUUUCGCCGAAAAAUGACCAGCCCUGUUUCUGUUUUGACCCAUAGCAGAAAAAAUAAUGUUUUGAUGUGUUAUCUAGCCUCCCAAUUUGUUACUUGUGUUGACCAUGAUUCACUAUUUUUAUCAUUGGCUCUGUUUUAUUUUGUAUCGUCAUGCAACUUUUUUGGUGUUGUCAUAUAAUCAUAUAUAUAAACUCUCUCCAGGGAGAAAAUAAACCGAGUUCUUGACUUCCUCAUGACGGGCACUCAACAUCAAUUGCUUAUUUGUUGGCCAAGCACAUGCACUAAUUGUUAUUAUGUUUACAGUGUUACAUAAAUCUUGUCAUCCGAAUUUUAUUUUAUGUUUACUAUUAUGUUCAUUGUGUAUACAUUAAUAUGAUGAAAAUUGGCUUUUGUGCAGGAUCAAUUUCACUGUCACCGCAUGGAGUUCUUUUGAAUUUGACUUUUUGACUUCAAAGUCAACAUUGAUGUGUGUGUUUAAUUGGGAUAACCAAUUCAAGUGGGUAGUUGAUUGGUUUAUAUAGUCUUCAUUAAUCACUCUAUUGGUGAAGCUUAGGAUAUCUCUUAUACAGUUGUCAAUGUGCAAAGAAAAGACUUAAAGGAGCUUGAGAAGCAAGUUAUGGCUUUCUUUUUUUCAUUUUACAUUGGUGUCUAGAAUGUAAAAAAAGAUAACUGAAAAAGAAGGAUAUAUCGACUUAAAAAGACACUUUAGCAAUGAUUUUCUAUAAUUGUUUUGGUAUGUUCAACAUACCUACUUGUGUAUAUGUAAAUCAAAUAUAUUAUUUUACUUUAAA